rnacentral:rRNA from 1 species
UACGAAGGGGCUAGCGUUGUUCGGAAUCACUGGGCGUAAAGCGCACGUAGGCGGAUUGUUAAGUCGGGGUGAAAUCCUGAGGCUCAACCUCAGAACUGCCUUCGAUACUGGCGAUCUUGAGUUCGGAAGAGGUUGGUGGAACAGCUAGUGUAGAGGUGAAAUUCGUAGAUAUUAGCUAGAACACCAGUGGCGAAGGCGGCCAACUGGUCCGAUACUGACGCUGAGGUGCGAAAGCGUGGGGAGCAAACAGGGAUUAAGAU